rnacentral:lncRNA from 1 species
GACAUUCCAAUCAGGGAGAACAGGGCCUGCCCUCACUUUCCCAUAGACAGAAGUUCCCGGGAGGCUGGGGAAGGACCUUGCCACUGGGGGUAGGUCGGGGACUCAGGCCUCGUCUCCGCACGUGCCAGGAGGCUGUAGCUGUGCUGUUUCCCGAGGGCCCCUCUUUGCACCUGGGGGUGGUGGCGAAUGCGGGGUCUCCUCCUGGAGGCUGCCUCCCUGUCUUUUUGGGCCUCCUCUGACCUUCCUGCUCUACUCCCCCUUGGGUGUGGGCAGGGCGGCCCAGAGCACCCACUCACCAGCCGGCCUCGUCCCUCAGUCCUCUCUCAGGAGUGCACGAAGUUCAAGGUCAGCAGCUGCCGGGAAUGCAUCGAGUCGGGGCCCGGCUGCACCUGGUGCCAGAAGCUGGCUCGCCCUACGCUCAGCCGUCUCCUUGGGCUUCUUGAAUCUGGACAAGUCCUCAGCUUUCUUUGUCUUUCCUGUCCUUGGGCGUUUCUGAGGAAGUCAGGAGAGCAGCUUUGUAGCAUGACCCUCGGGGGUCUUGUCUGGAGUUUCCUCUGCCUGGACUCAGGUGUGCUUU